UACGUAGGGUGCAAGCGUUAUCCGGAAUUAUUGGGCGUAAAGAGCUCGUAGGCGGUUUGUCGCGUCUGCUGUGAAAACUGGAGGCUCAACCUCCAGCCUGCAGUGGGUACGGGCAGACUAGAGUGCGGUAGGGGAGAUUGGAAUUCCUGGUGUAGCGGUGGAAUGCGCAGAUAUCAGGAGGAACACCGAUGGCGAAGGCAGAUCUCUGGGCCGUAACUGACGCUGAGGAGCGAAAGCAUGGGGAGCGAACGG
rnacentral:rRNA from 1 species